rnacentral:rRNA from 1 species
UACGUAGGGUGCGAGCGUUGUCCGGAAUUAUUGGGCGUAAAGAGCUCGUAGGCGGCCUGUUGCGUCGGUUGUGAAAGCCCGGGGCUUAACCCCGGGUCUGCAGUCGAUACGGGCUGGCUAGAGGUAGGUAGGGGAGAACGGAAUUCCUGGUGUAGCGGUGAAAUGCGCAGAUAUCAGGAGGAACACCGGUGGCGAAGGCGGUUCUCUGGGCCUUACCUGACGCUGAGGAGCGAAAGCGUGGGGAGCGAACAGG